rnacentral:rRNA from 1 species
AGCGUUCUUGUACCGUGAAACUGCGAAUGGCUCAUUACAACAGUUAUAGUUUAUUUGAUCGUGCGGAGCUACGUGGAUAACCGUAGGAAUUCUAGAGCUAAUACAUGCACCGUCGCUGAGGUUCUUUGAGUAGACUUUGGCGGGAUUUAUUAGAUCAAAAACCAAUCGCAUAUCGUGUAUACGGUAAGCGUGGCGGGAUGAAUCAUAAUAACUAAACCGAAUCGUAUGGCCGUGAUUUGGCCGGCGAUAAAUCAUUCAAAUUUCUGCCCUAUCAACUUUCGAUGGUAGGGUAGUGGCCUACCAUGGUGUUGACGGGUGACGGAGAAUUAGGGUUCGAUUCCGGAGAGGGAGCCUGAGAAACGGCUACCACAUCCAAGGAAGGCAGCAGGCGCGUAAAUUACCCAAUCCUGAUUCAGGGAGGUAGCGACAAGAAAUAACGAUAGCGGGCUCGUUCGAGUCCGUGCAUCGGAAUGAGGAUAAUUUACACCCCUUCUCGAGGAUCCAUUGGAGGGCAAGUCUGGUGCCAGCAGCCGCGGUAAUUCCAGCUCCAAUAGCGUAUACUAAAGUUGUUGCAGUUAAAAAGCUCGUAGUCGAAUGUAGGUUUUGUUACUACGCGAUCUCUUGGGUGUAACUUGAGUGGACUGCGUGUAACAACCUUCCCGGAUAUAACAGAGGUAGUCUGGGUAAUCUCAGGUUAUGUCUUGUUAUAUGCAUUACUGUGAACAAAAUAGAGUGUUCAUGGCAGGCCAAUUUA